CCCCCCACCCCCCAAGGUGUUGAGAUAAUCGCCGCGGGGUUAAGGACGAAGGGGAGUCGGGGGGUGCGGGGGACAGGGGCGGCGAGGAGUAUAUAUCGGCGGCGACGACGAGGGUUCGGCACCACUCGACGACACCCACUCCUCGAGGCGACAUGUACAAGGCGGUGUUUGCAGUGCUGAGUGUGCUCCUGAUGGUGGCCGCCGCCCUGGCCAGCCCCAUGCCGGAGCCCGGCUACUUGGGCUAUGGUGGUGGAUACCGCGGGUUUGGUGGUGGCGGUUUUGGUGGCCUCUACGGCGGGUAUGGCGGCGGCUUCCGUGGCGGCUAUGGCGGCUACGGCGGCUACGGCUACUAUGGCUAGGGACGAUAAAGGAGGAGCGUCCACGCCCUUUGAUUAAGAACAAUUUUCUAAAGAUUGGCAAAGUUCGUCCUCGUCCUGUCCCGUUGCUGUUUUGUGCCGCGAGGACGAGCAACGAUUCGGCCGAGAACACCUCCAAUAAAGGCUUUCUUUCGUCCUGUGUCUUUCAGGCUUUGAGUGUUUCGUCGAGAAAACAAUAAAAAGAUCCUUAUU